CUUGUUCUGCUUGAUGUUUCUGAAGUUGCCGUGCUGCAGUUGCGCACGCGAAACGCUCCGGGAAUAUCAGCUGCGUCUUAUUCCGCCUCACACUCUUCUAAUAAGCUCUCGAUAACAAGCUAAAAGUGCUGUUCGCCUGUCUGACCGUUUUUGGAGCGCAGCGGACCGCCGCGUCCUCCUCCCGCGUCUGGAGCUCCUGCGCCUCUCUGCGCUUUUUGGCACCAGCCACUUUGAGUCCAAUCAUGCAGGACGCGUGUCUAUUUGCUGCCGCAGAUUCUAAUUAGAGCCAAUCAUGAGAGUCCUUGCGCUCUGACAUCACGACCGAUGGCACACCUCCAUCCCAUCCCAUCCCAUCCCAAGCGGGCGUGCGAACUCAGCCUUCAUCUCUGAAUGAGUGAUGAUGGGACUGAUGCGCGCCGAUGAGAGGACAGACAGGAGGUGUUACUGAAGCACAUAUCCAGCAUGACAGUAGGGCACAGAGAACUGUAAAAGCAAGUCCUGAGGUAAUGCCUCAAUUGUGCCAGUUCCAAUCAGACCGACCCGCGCUGGUGAAGUAAUCCUUCAGACCACUUCCUCCAAGCUCGGCUACAUCUGAAGCUGCUCGUCAAGUUUGGAAAGAAACGUAAGCGCAAGAUGUUAAGCCACUUCACCAAUAUCCUGCCUGACACUCCACAGGACUUAGGCAGAAAAAUUUCUUUUUUUCCCCCUUGGAUUUACUAAGAGGUGGGGGAAAACACGCAA
rnacentral:lncRNA from 12 species